rnacentral:rRNA from 1 species
AUUGAACGCUGGCGGCAGGCCUAACACAUGCAAGUCGAACGAGUGGCGGACGGGUGAGUAAUGUCUGGGAAACUGCCUGAUGGAGGGGGAUAACUACUGGAAACGGUAGCUAAUACCGCAUACCAUCGGAUGUGCCCAGAUGGGAUGAGCUAGUAGGUGGGGUAAAGGCUCACCUAGGCGACGAUCCCUAGCUGGUCUGAGAGGAUGACCAGCCACACUGGAACUGUGACACGGUCCAGAUUCCUCCGGGAGGCAGCAGUGGGGAAUAUUGCACAAUGGGCGCAAGCCUGAUGCAGCCAUGCCGCGUGGAUGAAGAAGGACUUCGGGUCGUAAAGUAUUUUCAGCGGGGAGGCGUUACCCGCAGAAGAAGCACCGGCUAACUCCGUGCCAGCAGCCGCGGUAAUAC